UACGUAGGGUGCAAGCGUUGUCCGGAAUUAUUGGGCGUAAAGAGCUCGUAGGCGGUCUGUUGCGUCGGCUGUGAGAACCCGGGGCUCAACUCCGGGCCUGCAGCCGAUACGGGCAGACUAGAGUUCGGCAGGGGAGACUGGAAUUCCUGGUGUAGCGGUGAAAUGCGCAGAUAUCAGGAGGAACACCGGUGGCGAAGGCGGUCUCUGGGCAUUACCUGACGCUGAGGAGCGAAAGUGUGGGGAGCGAACAGG
rnacentral:rRNA from 1 species